ACAAAUGGCUCUCCCUAUAAAAAUGAUAUGGUAACAUCAUCACACAUAGACUUCAUCACCUCAAAAACAAACAGAUUCAGACUACAAACUCACUUCAUUUCUUAGAGCCAAACUAGAUGUGACAAUAACUGAAUGAAGCAGAAGGAAGACAAGGAUGUGGUGGCAAUAAGGAAAAAAACAAACCAACAAACCAAAGUGCCUAAGAGCAAAUACAGAACAAUAAAGACUCAAAGCAAUGAAGAGAGCCAAAACAACAAA